AGUGAACGCUGGCGGCAGGCCUAAUACAUGCAAGUCGAACGGCAGCACAGCAGAGCUUGCUCUGUGGGUGGCGAGUGGCGGGACGGGUGAGGAAUACGUGGGAAUCUGCCCAGUCGUGGGGGAUAACGUAGGGAAACUUACGCUAAUACCGCAUGCGCCCUUCGGGGGAAAGCCGGGGACCUUCGGGCCUGGCGCGAUUGGAUGAGCCCACGUCGGAUUAGCUAGUUGGCGGGGUAAAGGCCCACCAAGGCGACGAUCCGUAGCUGGUCUGAGAGGAUGAUCAGCCACACUGGAACUGAGACACGGUCCAGACUCCUACGGGAGGCAGCAGUAGGGAAUAUUGGACAAUGGGCGCAAGCCUGAUCCAGCCAUGCCGCGUGAGUGAAGAAGGCCCUCGGGUUGUAAAGCUCUUUGUCCGGAAAGAAAGCGCCGGGUUAAUACCCUGGUGUCCUGACGGUACCGGAAGAAUAAGCACCGGCUAACUUCGUGCCAGCAGCCGCGGU
rnacentral:rRNA from 1 species